CAGUACUUAACCAACCAGUCACUCAGACAGCUUUGAGGAAGGAAGCAAGGGAAAAUCACCACCUAUUGCCUUUGCACAUCUGUCAGAGAAUGGAGCUGACAGCAGGAGAAAUGACUCAGCGACAGACCACAGCAGAGUGAAAGCUCUUUUCCCCUUAAAUGGAUUUCUUCAAAGAAGUGAAGCUACGGAAAACAUCUGUGUCUGGAUCCCACCGAUCACAAACCAGGAAACAAAUACUUACCAGCAACCAGGAGCCAAAAAUGUCACAUGGGUGUGUUUAGACAAGUGUUAGUGUUAGGUAUUUUUUCUUUUAUACGAGUAGAAAGAGUUCACACCUGAGCGUUUAAUGACAUUGCUGUUGGAUCUUUGACCGUCCAUCUGAGUCACUGGCGGCACGUAAACAAACCCACAAGCAAAUUCCAUUGUGGAUCUGCCUGUGUGUGAGAGAAAGGACAAUAAUUAACACAACACGACCCCUGAUAACAACAACAAAUAGUGUACGGUAACAACUUCAACUCAUAACAAAGGUAAUUAUCCAAUCCUAGCCAUAGCAAUCAAAGUAAUCAAAGUAAUAACAGAAGGAUUUUCCAUGGGGAGCAUGUGGAUAAUGAUACAGCUUUUAAGAAGCAGUCUCAUUAAAGAAACAUAAUCUAGACAACGCAUCCAACGUCUUAAUGCGAUACAAAAUGAACCAGUUCUCUUAAAGAAGGCACAUAUAAUGUAUACUCACACACGGAGAGUCCUUUGAACGCUGAGGGUACAG